CCGUGAGAGCGGGAGCCCGGAGAUGGGCACUGAGACAAGGGCCCAGGCCCUACGGGGCGCAGCAGUCGCGAAAACUCCGCAAUACGCGAAAGCGUGACGGGGCUAUCCCGAGUGCCAUCCGCUGAGGAUGGCUUUUCCCAAGUGUAUAAAGCUGGGGGAAUAAGGAGAGGGCAAGACUGGUGUCAGCCGCCGCGGUAAUACCAGCUCUCCGAGUGGUGGGGAUGCUUAUUGGGCCUAAAGCAUCCGUAGCUGGCUGGGCAAGCUCUCCGUUAAAUCCAACGAUUCAAUCGUUGGGCUGCGGGGGAUACUGUCUGGCUAGGGGGCGGGAGAGGCCGACGGUAUUCUCGGGGUAGGGGUGAAAUCCUAUAAUCCCGGGAGGACCACCAGUGGCGAAGGCUGUCGGCUAGAACGCGCCCGACGGUGAAGGGCGAA
rnacentral:rRNA from 1 species